CUCGUAGGCGGUUUUUUAAGUCUGGAGUGAAAAUGCGGGGCUCAACCCCCGUAUGGCUCUGGAUACUGGAAGACUUGAGUGCAGGAGAGGAAAGGGGAAUUCCCAGUGUAGCGGUGAAAUGCGUAGAUAUUGGGAGGAACACCAGUGGCGAAGGCGCCUUUCUGGACUGUGUCUGACGCUGAGAUGCGAAAGCCAGGGUAGCGAACG
rnacentral:rRNA from 1 species